CCUACGGGUGGCUGCAGUGGGGAAUAUUGGGCAAUGGGCGCAAGCCUGACCCAGCAACGCCGCGUGAAGGAAGAAGGCUUUCGGGUUGGAAACUUCUUUUCUCAGGGACGAAGCAAGUGACGGUACCUGAGGAAUAAGCCACGGCUAACGACGGGCCAGCAGCCGCGGUAAUACGUAGGUGGCAAGCGUUAUCCGGAUUUACUGGGUGUAAAGGGCGUGUAGGCGGGAAAGGAAGUCAGAUGUGAAAACCACGGGCUCAACCUGUGGCCUGCAUUUGAAACUGUUUUUCUUGAGUACUGGCGCGGCAGCCGGCAUUCCUGGUGUAGCGGUUAACUGCGUAGAUAUUAGGAG
rnacentral:rRNA from 1 species